GCCCGGUUAGCUCAGUCGGUAGAGCAUCAGACUUUUAAUCUGAGGGUCGUGGGUUCAAGUCCCACAUUGGGCG
rnacentral:tRNA from 2 species